CUGAGAGACAGUAAAUGUGAACCACUUUUAAAUGCCAACCUUGCUUUAAAUGGUGCUUUGACAACACACAGAAAACUAUUUAUUUUGGGACUUAUGGGACUUCUACAGAGUUGGUGCAAAUACAAUGAAAAUUAUAAUAUUUACAUUAUCUAUAAAUAAAACAGUAAAGAAAACCAAGUACCACCAGGAACACAAGUCAAAAAGGAGUAGGAAUAAACAAGAUAAUUAAUACAUGUAUUGGUAUUUUUUUCCUUAAUAAACAAUGAAGUCCUUGGUAUACACAUAUUUGCAGAUAUGUAUAAACAUGCAAAACACAGAGAAAAUGACAAUGUUUACUGAGUUCCAUUUCCCAAAAUACUACUAACAGGAAGCAGUCAAAGGUUUUACAGAAAGGUUUCUUGGGUUCAUAGCUAGCUUUCCUUAAGAGAGUGAGUUAGGUCCUAGAAAGGCACAAAACCACUCAGAUAAGAUUUUCUAGAGAUAAAAUUAUUCACAAAAUACAGCUUUUCAGACAGAAACUUAACACUACAUGUAUGAAAUUGUACACAUGAAUAUGUGUAUUCUUGCUCACUCACCCAAAACAUACAAUCUUCACUAAAAAUGUGACCUCAUUAUCUAUCAGUCAGUAGAAAGGUGACUCUUGAUAAAUGGAAGUUGAAAAAUAUCAGCCUCAAGUGUUUGAGGAGGCAGAGGGAAUUACAUAUUUUGGUUCUUAAGUUUCCUCAGGAUUAUUUUUUGACAGUUCAUUCAAAAUUAAUGGAGAUUCCUCUUAGUUCUUUGGAUUCAAAAUAAAAAACCCUUUCUUUUCCCCAGAAUCUCCUACCUAUAAAAUGCAAAUGUUUCCAUUUCUAAUCUUCAAAGUAAAUUACAACUAAUGAAAGGGUAAUGCAAAAAGUUUUGCUAGGCUCCUCCCCAUAGACACAGGAUUUUAAAAAGUCUAUUUUUCCUGCAGACAUCUUAAUUUAUUUAUUGUAAUGGUAUAUAUAUAUAUAUUUUAAAUACACUUGUGAGGGAAUGAACUUACUGAUUAAGCAAGAUUUGAAAAGUGAAGGUAAUUUUAGUAAAAUCAAUAAAGAUUUCUCUGGGAUUUGAGAAACCUGAAAUGAAUGACCUGGAAUCCUUAAAUUGCUUACAGUUCCCACAAUGUUGGCAGGAAAUAAUAAAAUGCAUUUGAAAAAUUGCACACAAUUUUCAUUAAGUACUGUUAGAACUCAGGCAUUCCAUUUCUGCCCAAUUGAAAAAAAGGAAAUAUAAACUGUAUCAUUCUUUAUAGAGUAUAUAUAAGGCUGAAGAAGAGUUCCAGUCACUGAGAGCUAUGCAAAAUGAGACAAUUCUUUGUUUCCUGCUGGUAUUAUAUAUUCAGCUUGAAGGAAGGCCUACUGGAAUGGCUUUGGAGAGGUGUAUUUGGUUUUUCAGUGGACCACUACUGCUCAGUUUGGUUAGAUAAGAGAUGUAGAUUCUGGAAGUGGCAGGCUGUGUGUCAGGAUUCAUAGAUUAGACAGGAUGUGUUUAUGCAUUGCUGCAUUUGCAGCCUUUCAUAAAAAUGGGUAUAAAGGCACCAUUUCUUAGGCUAGUACCAACAGAUUAGAGAAGAUGUUGAGGUCUCUACUUAGCUUGAACUGUUUGGCCUAGGAAGUCUGCAAAGUGCUUGCCAGGUUUUUUACAUCUUUAUCAGUAAGUUUUGUAAUAUCAGCAAGGAAAACUCAUGACCAUUAACUAAAACUUUUAGUUCUCUAGGCUUUAUCAGCAAAUACCCGCUCUUGAGUAUGUGUUUAGGCUUUACACCUGAGCUGCUGAUAAGUGAUUUCCAAAAGCCCUGUGUGACUGCCUUUUUCCAUUUGCAUUGUAGUCAGGGAAAACUUACCUUCGAGUUUUAAUACAUCCUUCACAAGGCUGAUUUAAGGGAUCUCCAGAAAUGUCUUUAUGGGCACUGCUUCUCAAAAUAUUUUUUUUCACAACCCACCAGUAACUUCCUUAUGAAGUGUGUGCUUUGACACAGAUUAAGAAAAUGUGGAAAUCAAUGAGACAGAUUCUACUGAUUUUGCUGAGAACAGAGUCAGGUAUUUAACGUUUUGGAAAUGUCAGGCCAAGAGUGUCAGAGACAGCUGAAAGCCUGUCAGAACACUGCUCCUGGACUCUCAACUCCUUAUCACCAGAGCAGGUACCUAGACUUGCUUGCAUAGUAGUGACCAAGACUGGAAUGACCUAUUGCGUUAAAAAGAGAACUAAUGGAAGAAGGUCGUCACACCAAAUUAUGAUCAACUCCUUUUUAAGGCUAUGGAAAAAAGUUGUGAAAAAAAGCCCAUUAGUUGUAAUUUUUGUGUUGGUAAGGAGAACAUUCUGAACCAUACAACCUUUUGGAAAUUUUCAGAAAUCAUGCAGAGCCCUUCAGCAGACAGGGAUGUGCUCAGUUGUCAUUUGUCAUACAGCUAAUUAGGAAGAGGAGCUGAGAAGCUAGCUGUUAGUUAGAAAUGCCAGAGGCUAUGUAUGGAUAUGCCUACACUGUAACUCAGGUACUAAGCCUGUCUUCAUGCUCUGAUCUCUAUUAAUUUUCCUCUGUGGAAACCAUAGGUUUGAGCUGCACUUUGGAAGAAAUCAAGCCUGCCCUGAGAUGAAGUCCACUAAUUAUUUUGGGGAUAAUUUAUUUUCAGAAAAUUCAGCUUGUUCAGCUCUAUGCAGUUUUUCUAUGUAAUUCUAACAAAUUUGUUCUCUUGACUACCCUCUCACUAACUCAUAACAUGCUCUGUGGUGUGCAUUACUUACACAUUAUGAUAUAAAGACACCUCUGCAGCAGGCUGAAAUGUUCUGAAAGGUCACAACAUAAAAUAAUUUUGUCUUAGGCCAUGGGGGCUUUGUGUGAGCUCUGGAUGAGACAGAAGAUGAGGUGCUCCAGAGUAUCGCCCUGAGCAGUAUGGAUGUAAGUCACUCCGUGCCACCUGGUGUAGGAUUGCUCCUUGAGGGGAAGUCUGUAGUAAUGUGGCUGUAGCUACAUUAUUGCUACAGUGAUAAAAUUGAGAGUUCCUAAACCAAGAAAGAAACAGAGGAAUUUUAAAUGAUACUCAGAAGCAUCAGUAAGAUCUUAGGAAAGAAAAAAUAUUUACAAUCUAUUCAGACAAUAAAAGGCAUAAUGGAUGAAAAGCACACCAGUUGGAUAAAAGAAGCUCAUUCUACUUCUGCCAAUUCUUCAUUGUAAUGUGCCUCAACCAGGGUCCAAAUAAAGAUUUGCUCCACCAUAAUUCCUGCAUUCAGUUACCAUUGAAAUGUAUUUAUUGCUGGUGGUUUGCAGCCAGCCUUUGAAAGUGCCUCAUUUUUAUAUUAUUUUGUCAGAAAAAGCCAUAAUUUAACUUUGUUUUGCAAGUGUUUUGACAGACCAAGUAAGGCUUUCUUUAUUUUGCUGUCCAGCAGUUGUGUGAGUCCCUUGCAGAACAUUUGGCAUCCGAACACUUGAGCGUUAAAUGCGGUAUCUUUUCUCCUUGAGCAGGGUGAUGUGCGCUGAAGGCUCAGCCCUCCUUCCUUCCUUCCUUCCCAUAUCCCAGAUCCUUGGAGAGAGAAGAGGCAGAGCAGUACCUCGAGCCAGCUUUGCUUCAGAGACACUGUAGGAAGGACUGAGCCAUUCUGGCAGAAAUGAAGAACGAUUAUUCUUUCUGUUGUUGAACUUUUUCUUCAAGGAAAAGACAUUGACCAGGGUAAUGAAAGAUCUUGAACUUUAGACCUGCUGCAUCCAGCACAUAUGCCACAAUCUGGGAUAUGCCACCAGCUAUAGGAAGAAACCUUUGUGAAAAUGGAAGAUGUGCUACAAACGCAUUUUUUCAAUUUUUUCAAUUAUUUUUCAAGAAUUUCUGCUUCCCAGAGAGAUUUGACAUUCCUGCUUCAGCACCAGCUGGGGUGCGGCAGGCAGUCUGGCCAGGAGCAUUGGCAGAAAUGUGGGCAAAUACCAAAUGAAAUCUCUUCAUUGCUGUGUGUGGCCUUCUAGCAACCUGUGGGAUGGCGAUGCGAUGUGGUGGCCCGUGGGAGCUCCCUGCAGCAGCAAGUUCCUCUACAGGAAGGCUUUUGAGUAGUUUCUGUAUCUCUCCUGAAGAAAUAGCUAUGGUUGAAGAUGGUUAGAAGACAGCAAAGAAUACCCUCUGCACAAACACAGCAUGAUAGCAACCUGAAGUUGCUUUGAAGAAGCUGCAUGCGCUGUGGAGAUAUUGUAUGGUUGGCUGCUGCCAAAUGGAAUCAGUGGAUGAAGUAACAGCCAGAAUCUGAAACUGCUCUUCAAGAGACAUCAGAUUUUGUUUUCUCUGAUUUUUCCAUUUUUUUUCUGCUUUCAGCAUUCCAUCCUUUGAAUCAUUUAAGAAGUCUGAAUUUCAAAACCAAAUACUCACAGAGAAAGUCAGUCAAUUCUGAUCUAUAGCUAGGAAACAGCAGCCAUUUCUUCCAGAUGAAUGCAUCACUCUAUGCUUAUCUUUUCCUUGUCCACUUCCUCAGCCACAGCUGGACACAGGACAAGGAAGAAUGCCAGGCACAUAGGUGCAUCUACUUCUCCUUGUGAGCAAACCUACCUACCAGAGUACAUCCCAUCUCUGCUACCAUACUGCAUUACUCUGAAGAAAUCUCCUUUGAGUCACCCCAAAACAUCAAAUCUACAGGACUUUGGAGAAGGGACUUUGGUCUUUUUUUAUAACAGCACUUGGGUUCAUCCUGUCAGUCUGUACUAUUUUGAAAAGGGAUAUUGAGGACAAAGGGCUGUAUUCAUUAAGUGAUUUGGACAGUCUUAUUUACACGGUGAUUUCUUUUUCAAUGGAGUCACAACCAUAUUGACCCAUGACAUUUCUGCUGAACAACCAGAUGAGUGCCAAUUCAGUUCAGGGAGAUCAGGGGUGCUGUCCCAGACUGUCUUAAUACAAAUUUCCAGCUCUUUCCAGCAUACAAAAAUUCCAGUCUUGCAUCUCACUAGAUUAAAGGCUGCAAGCCUUGACAGUGUGACUUCAGGUUUCCUUGAGUGCUAUACUGCAAGAGCAGCCAAUAGGAAGGCAGCAACAGACUAACAGGAAAUAAAUUGCAACUCCUACAUGAAUUUCUUUCCUAGUCUGCAUAAAUUACUGAUGCACUAGUAUAGCGUUAAAGAGUGGUUGCUUGACUGUUAUCCACUGGUAGAUAUCAAGAUUCUGGGUGCAAUGACUGACCUGCUCCACCUGCACCUGACAGUGCUCCUCUGCCUGUGCUGCUCCUCUUCCCCUAAGGAUAUCCCUCCAAAGUUAAGUGUCUUGUAGGAGAUUGAACCAAACUCGAGUGCAAUGCCAGUCUAGGUGAUUGACUAUAAGUGAUACUUAGUGUUUAUUAGCAGUAAAGAUUUUUCAGGAACUAUACACAUUGUAAACCAGCAAGUCUCUCUUUCUUCCUGGUUCUCAAUCAGAAUGUGCCACACACACACACACACACACACACACACACACACACACACACACAUGCAAAAGAGACCAGAUUAAUUUCAGGAGUGCCCAAACAUCAUUGAGUGUGCUGGAAAAUGGCAUCAAUGCAAGGCUGAUACCAUGACUGUUAUUGCAUUUGAGUGUUGCCAUCACUAGAGAAAUGCUCUAACCUGGUAAUUCAGGAAUGGGAACUAAACCAUUUUAGCCAGCUUGUUAUCAAGACACUAUAUAUUCACUGUAGGCUACUUCAUCAGCAUCUUAUUAGAAACAGGGUUGGAGGUUUGCCAUGUCUUGGUGGUGCUUUAGAGUCCAUGAUUGCUUCUGAACCAUAUGAAGCAGUUCUGUCAAAAGACAUCAAAAGCGGAAAGAUGCAAAUAGGAUCAAGUAAGGGGGAAAGAAUCCCCAGAACCCAACCCUUUGGUUAUGCUGGGGGUCCUUUUCCUUUGCUUUCUGCACAUUUAGAAAGUGGCUGAUGUGAUACAUUUUACAAAUAAAUAAUAAUACAUGCACAAGAGCUAGGAACAUCUUGUACACAGAUAUGAGUCAGUACUUGGCAUGUGGCUAAUGGGAGUCAGAUUUCCCAGACAAUAAUUACAUUUUCAAAAUAAGAAUUAAAGAGACAAGAAAAAAAGGAGUUAUUCCCAUUAGCUGAGAGUGUGAGCUCUGAAGUGAAAUUAAAUUUGCUUUCCACAUAAUUGAUUGUACAUCACUUCAGAGGUUGCCUGCAAAAAACAUUCAACAAUGAUAAGUUGGAUCUUGCAAGGACUUCACUUACUAAAUGGGUGCAGGUUAAAUGACUACUUGUUUCUCUCCUCCAAGCUGUCCAGCCAUUUCUGAUCUGAAAACUGUAAGCACAUGACAGUAAUAUCAUAUAGUGUUCAAACAUCCUAUGAAAAUGUCACAAGAGGACCCAACUAUCAGUGUAGUUAGCCAAGGAGGACAGCAUGUGGCACACCAAUUGCUUAUUUGUUACUGUGGAUCAGAAAAACUUUUCCAUAUCAUGACUUUUCCAUAUCAAAUUGAGGACUAUGAAUUCAGGCAUGUCUGCUACUUCUGUGGAAAACAGCACUAAGCUUUCUCUUAGCCUUGAGGAAUCGUGACUUGGGCUUACAGUGCAUUUCCUAAUUUCAUCAUAAAGAGACAGAUGUGGCCAGAACCACAGAGCUAUAGGUGGGAUAUGAUUCUGUACAUUGCAGUUUGACUUUUAAUUGCUGCUUAUUUCAAUGUUUGGUUAUUUCUAUCAGAAUCAGUCUUUUUAAAAGGUCUUUGAAAACUGUCUUUUCAAAAAUAUGAGAAGAUGCUUGCCUUUGGUAAAAAAUCUGCCUAUCCGUCUGCCUGUUUACAUGCUGGUCUGUUUAUCUACUAUUCUAAAUACUGCAAGCUAUGGAAAAGUAGAAUUUCAGUAGUCAGAACACAUUAAUUUUGGGGCAAAAGUAUGCUUCAAAGUUUGUGUUCAAAUUUCCUGAUGAAAAGGCAUACUCCCAUGUUGACCUCUGUCUUUUGUAAUGAAACAGAUCUCUUCUUCAGGUAAGGAGGCUAUGUUGUGUCCUGGAAAAUGUACUUAAACCAAAGAACUCUGUCUAAAGAGGGGAAUAAGACCAUAAACCCCCAAGCAUGUUAGUAUUAUGUUACCACUUCUAUUUUCAGGGAGGUAUUUUAGUAUAUAUAUUUCUAUAUAUUUCAGGGAGGUAUAUAUUUUAGUAUUUAAUAUUUUUUGUUAAUUUGUCUCCAAAUUUUCUGUCAAAAAUUUUUGCUUUCUUCUUCAACUCCAGUUCUCAAGGCAGCUGCAGGUGCUUACUCUGUUUGGUUGCUUCAUGCAGGAUAGGGGUAGGCCAUGGAAAAGUGUGAUCCAUAUAGUGUUGGAUUUUCUCAGAAGCUGCAUCUGUGGGCCACAGGAACAAUGUUAGGCUACAUCCGUCAAAGGAUUUUCUUAAGCUUCUAGCUGCAGUUUGUCCAGGAUGUUAUAAUAUUUUUCUGUAAUAUUGUCCUUUAACAUGCAUGCAUCAAUCCAAAGACAGAUGUGUGGGUAAAAACCACAUCUCCAUGAGAGCCAGAUAUCACCACAAAACCAGUGAGAUGAGAUGCUUUCCAAGUCACACAAGUGCCAUACCAUGAGAUGGGCCAAUAGCUCAGAACAGGAUAUAUUUUUUUAUUAAUUUCAAUAGGAGAAAAGGGGAUUUAGUGAGAAAAAAAGUGCAGAAGCAAGCAGACAGAUUAUAUAUAUAUUUUAAAAAAAAACAUACUUAUAAAGGUACUUUACUAGAAAAGUGAGAUUAAAUAUUACAAGUCAUGUGUUAUGGUACUUGAAGACUAAAACAAAGAAAUUUUUUUGUAUGCACAGCUUCCUUUUUCUAAGUAAAUUCCUGGGGAUAUUUAGAGCAUUACAACUUCCAGUUGUUUCCCGUGACUGAAAGCUUCCAGGUUACCCACCCACUGUUAAAGGAAGUGCUUGUCUUGGCAGAAAGCAUCACUGUCAGUUCAGUCCUGUCUGGGGCCAAUGGGAAACUUCUGGUUGUCCAACAUACAGCUGGAUUGAGUUCUGAGAGACUUAACUUCCUGAGGCUCAUGAGGACAUGGAAAUUGUCAAGCAUACACUUGUCUUUGGAGUCAUCAUGCACAUGACAGAUAUCAUAAGAAACAAAUUUGGGCUGCAACUUGGACAUACCCAAGGGAGAAGGGGCAGUCUUUAUGCGUUUGGUGCUCAAGGCCCCUCAUGUGGCUGUGAGAACAAUUUCCUGAGGUGCUGAGUUCAUCCUGCCCAGGGAAAAUACACCCAGGGUUCACUGGAAGCCUGUAGAAAGAUUCCAGAAUCACAGAAUGUGUCAGGUGGAAGUGGUCCAGCUUGUCCAACUUCCUUGCUCAGUCACAGUCAUGAUAAAGCAGAUGACAAAGGAUUGUGUCAGGAAGUUCUUGAAUAUCUCCAGUGGGGGAGAUUCCACCCACAAGAGAGAUGUUCCAGUCCCUUCACUAUCCUUAUUACCCUCUGCUGGACCUGCUCCAGGGACUCCUCAUCUUUCUAGUACUGAGGAGUCUAGAACUGGACACUCCAGAUGUGGCCUCAACAGAGUUGAGUGUAGGGAUCACCUCCCUUGUCCUGCUGGCAGUGGCUUUUCUAACACGCCCCAAGGUUCUGUUGGCCUUCUUGGCCACAAGGGCACACUGCUGGCUCAUGGACAGCCCCAGGUCCCCCACCACUGCUGCUUUCCAGCAGGUUGGGCCCCAGCAUUGAGGCCAAGUUGGCUGUGAGGGUCUGUUGCUUGUUUGCUUUUGGCCUCUCUGCAGAUGCAAGCUGUUCAGUGGGAAUACACCCUCCAUGGCAUGAAGUAGUAUCUCUGUUUCUGGGCUCCAGAUACAAGAAGACAUAAUAUAAAAAGUGUGUUAUAAAAAGAACAAAAUAUUGACCUGUUCCUGUGGUGAAUGGGCGUGAGCAGGCUCAAAGUGCUGUGCUGUUACUUUUCCUGAUCCCUCAAUAGAGAUCACUGUUCCUAAAAACAAACAAACAAGAAGCUAAUUUAAAGCAUUUCAAAUCUAGUUAUCUUUGAGCUUCAGAAGACUGGACACCAACUAGUUCUGUAUCAGGAGUGUGAUGUCCAGUUCUGAUUUUAAAUCAUAGCUUAUAUUGUCAUGGACAUUUAGGGUAAGAUUUAUCUUGCCCUAGUUCUCAACAAGUUACUUCAUCCUAACAGAAUUGCCCAGUUCAUGGGAAGUCUGCUCUCAGAUGUCCUUGAAGAAUUUCUUAAUCAUCUGGCUUUUGGAAAACUUGUUUUCCACAGCUUCUGUUAGAGAAUUAUGCAAUGAGGAAUCCAACACUCACUGGGCCAGAAAGAGAGGGAGAGGGAGCACAACACUUAAGGGUUAGCAGGCUGCAGGGCAGUUUCUAUAUUUUACCCAAUGUUUGUGUAAAGUUACUCACUCUUCUUUGGGCAUCAACCGAAAUCUUGGGGAAAGCAAGUGCCACCUGUGCCAUCUGACUUGCUCUAGGCAGCUGUAAAUGAUGGAGUACACAUGGUUUGGUGUUCAGUUCUCAGGUGCCUGGCUCUGCUGAGGCCUAGUAAAAGGAAACUGGAGACCUAAGCUUUUGAGCACAGCCAGAAAAAUCUAGUGUUGCAACAAUACCUGUACUUCAAAAAGCUUAGUUUUGCUUUUGUAUCUAAUGUCCACUCUGAUCCAUACAUAUUGCCUGUGUCCUAAGCUUGUAUGUAUUUCUUUAUCUCCAACCUUUUGACUCCUGCUCCCUUACAGGAUUAUUUUUAUUUAGACCUACAGCCUUUAACAAGCAAACAUUUUUUGGCUGGACUGAGUUCUAUAUCAAAAUGCCUUUUCCUUUUGCUACAAAAAUUUGUAUUUCUCUCUAAUAUCUCUUCCCCUUCAGGGUCACUUGAAGGGUAAAAUGUCUACUAGUACCAAAUGCAGUUUUGGUAAUGAGGUACUGGUGCAGAAUAAACACUUCUCCACAGCAUUUGUGUACUUCAAACCAUUCCUCAUUAAUACAGUUUGUUCUAAAUUGAGCAUAAGGUUGUAACUGGAGACCAUUACACUAGAGUCUAUUAAUACUGGGUCAGAUUCUACAGCCCUGACUACAUCCAAAAAGUCCUUACUUGCACCAGCAAGUUCUGUUUAAAGUAAUGGUAAUUUAAUUCCUUUUUCACUGCCUAAUCUGGCCCACAUUUAGGGAUGCAACAACAUUUUUUACAGCAUUGGUAAGAUGAUAAAAAACUUUAUAGAAAAAAAAAUUAAGCUCUUGAAGAAAGUGAUAGCUGAUGUCAUAAGUAUCAUUCUUUCCAAAUCCUUCUUAUAGCAGUGUAGAGUGGAGAUCUUCUGCUGAAAUGGUUGCCAGAAUUUUCAGUUUCACACGUCUUUGUCAAGGGGUUAUAACCUUCCUAACAGUAGUUUGAGCAGAAGGUUGUUGUGAAAGUGUCUUUUCCUAUCUUGGAAGAGUGAUAUUGGAUUGAAAUUGAAAACUAAAAUAACUGUUAAUAUUUUUUAGGUACUUUUCUGAGACAUUUGUUCAUGUAUUAAAAUGACAUGUGGAAGCAGUUAGCAAAAUGUUCACUUUAAAAAGAAGGAAGCAUAGAGUGGAGAAGGACAAGCAGUAUCUUUCUUCACCCUUUUAACUACUCUAAGAAAUCUGUUUUUAGCAGUGAUAUGUGUUGUGUCAGCACCACAGAGGGGCUUGAGUCCUGUGUAAAUGGAGGCAUCUGCUCUACCUCUUUUAAAAGACCUGGCACUCUCUGUUUCUGUUGAAUGGAGGGCUCUCAGCCUCUCUCCUGGGGUCACACAUAAAGCCAAGAGUUAAUCACACAUCCAGAAAGACACGCUGCUGCAUGACAGCCUGUGUGUGCAGUCCCUGUGUUCCCACCUUGUCUUCUGUCAGUGCUGUGCUUUCAUUUAAAUCUUUCUUGUGAGUUUUUUUUUGGGUUUUUUUUUUGCAUUGUAUUUGUAAAAAGGG